UCCUAGUGAUUAGAGUUUGAUCAUGGCUCAGAUUGAACGCUGGCGGCAGGCCUAACACAUGCAAGUCGAACGGUAACAGGAAGCAGCUUGCUGCUUCGCUGACGAGUGGCGGACGGGUGAGUAAUGUCUGGGAAGCUGCCUGAUGGAGGGGGAUAACUACUGGAAACGGUAGCUAAUACCGCAUAAUGUCGCAAGACCAAAGAGGGGGACCUUCGGGCCUCUUGCCAUCGGAUGUGCCCAGAUGGGAUUAGCUUGUUGGUGGGGUAACGGCUCACCAAGGCGACGAUCCCUAGCUGGUCUGGGAGGAUGACCAGCCACACUGGAACUGAGACACGGUCCAGACUCCUACGGGAGGCAGCAGUGGGGAAUAUUGCACAAUGGGCGCAAGCCUGAUGCAGCCAUGCCGCGUGUAUGAAGAAGGCCUUCGGGUUGUAAAGUACUUUCAGCGGGGAGGAAGGGAGUAAAGUUAAUACCUUUGCUCAUUGACGUUACCCGCAGAAGAAGCACCGGCUAACUCCGUGCCAGCAGCCGCGGUAAUACGGAGGGUGCAAGCGUUAAUCGGAAUUACUGGGCGUAAAGCGCACGCAGGCGGUUUGUUAAGUCAGAUGUGAAAUCCCCGGGCUCAACCUGGGAACUGCAUCUGAUACUGGCAAGCUUGAGUCUCGUAGAGGGGGGGUAGAAUUCCAGGUGUAGCGGUGAAAUGCGUAGAGAUCUGGAGGAAUACCGGUGGCGAAGGCGGCCCCCUGGACGAAGACUGACGCUCAGGUGCGAAAGCGUGGGGAGCAAACAGGAUUAGAUACCCUGGUAGUCCACGCCGUAAACGAUGUCGACUUGGAGGUUGUGCCCUUGAGGCGUGGCUUCCGGAGCUAACGCGUUAAGUCGACCGCCUGGGGAGUACGGCCGCAAGGUUAAAACUCAAAUGAAUUGACGGGGGCCCGCACAAGCGGUGGAGCAUGUGGUUUAAUUCGAUGCAACGCGAAGAACCUUACCUGGUCUUGACAUCCACGGAAGUUUUCAGAGAUGAGAAUGUGCCUUCGGGAACCGUGAGACAGGUGCUGCAUGGCUGUCGUCAGCUCGUGUUGUGAAAUGUUGGGUUAAGUCCCGCAACGAGCGCAACCCUUAUCCUUUGUUGCCAGCGGUCCGGCCGGGAACUCAAAGGAGACUGCCAGUGAUAAACUGGAGGAAGGUGGGGAUGACGUCAAGUCAUCAUGGCCCUUACGACCAGGGCUACACACGUGCUACAAUGGCGCAUACAAAGAGAAGCGACCUCGCGAGAGCAAGCGGACCUCAUAAAGUGCGUCGUAGUCCGGAUUGGAGUCUGCAACUCGACUCCAUGAAGUCGGAAUCGCUAGUAAUCGUGGAUCAGAAUGCCACGGUGAAUACGUUCCCGGGCCUUGUAG
rnacentral:rRNA from 1 species